UUUUAAUUGCGUUUCUAUUCAUUUUCGAAUCUUUCUUUUUUUAUCUAAUCUUGAUCGAUCGAUCGAUUCGAUUCAUUCGUUUCCAUUAGAUUCGAUUGAUUGUUUUGUUUUCCUGAGAACAUUUGGCUUUGAAAUCUCGCAAAAACGACGUGUUCUGAUUGAGAGCUUUAUGAUGUGAUGAGGCAUUGCAGAAAGAUUAGAUAACUAAUCAGGGAGUAGUGCUUCUCCACCUCUGAUUUUCUGAGAAAUCAAGAAGAUUUGUUCAAGAUGAGCUGGAAUCCACAGAUGGAUGCUCAUUACAUGAACACUAGCUAUCCUUAUAGUACAGUCGGAAGUUUUAUGGAUUAUUUUGAAGGUCUUGCUUAUGAACAUGUGAAUUUCAUCUUUGCCACUGCUUCACACGGUCAGGAGAGUCCAUAUGCAUCAUCCAUGAAUACGAGUUUAUACAAAUUUGGGUUAUCUGAAACAGGGAGUACUUCUUAUUAUGAUUAUGAUCAGGCUUAUGUGGUAAAUGAUCACAUUCCGGGAAUUAGUGAAUAUAGAAGAACUCCAGAAAACACUUCAGCCAUUACCACGGACCAGAUUCCAACAGUAAAUACACAAUGUGAAGGAAAUACAAACACUACUACUACACAUGCUACUCCAGUAGAAUGUAAGUUUAUUGCUGGGCUUAUUCUAAUUUUUUCUUCCAAACAAGAGUCUUAAUAGUUUUCUUUUUAUGGGUGAAUGGUUUGGUUGGAAUGUUGGAAUUUGUGGUUUGAAAGAAUUUGAUGAUAUUGUUUGGGUACUUGAUAAAAAAAAUUAAUAAAUGAGA